UCUCAGACUGCUCUGCUAGCAAUCAGCAAGACUCUGUGGGCGUAGUACCCUCCGAGCCAGGUGCGGGAUAUUAUCUCGUGGUGCACCGUUUUUUAAGCCCGUCGGAAAAGUGCGGUAUUCCGGGUGGGAGUGACCCGAUUUUCCAGGUGCCAUCCGUCACGCCUUUCUUUGACUCAGAAAGGGAACUCCCUGACCCCUUGCGCUUCCCAAGUGAGGCAAUGCCUCCCCUGCUUCGGCUCGUGCAUGGUGCGCGCACCCACUGACCUGCGCCCAUUGUCUGGCCCUCCCUAGUGAGAUGAACCCGGUACCUCAGAUGGAAAUGCUGAAAUCACCUGUCUUCUGUGUCGCUCACGCUGGGAGCUGUAGACCGGAGCUGUUCCUAUUCGGCCAUCUUGGCUCCUCCCGGGUCCUAUUUCUUAAUAGAAGCAGAUACAGGAAUACAUAUGCAGAUUUGUUACAUGGGAAUACUGCAUGAUGCUGAGGUUUGGAGUACAGAUCCUGUCAACCUGGUAUUGAGCAUAUGUGAAACAUUACUGUUGGGGGAAACUGGAUGAAGGAAAUAUGGGAUAUAUCUAUAUUGUUACACUUGCUUGAAAACCUAAAAUUACAAACUCGUCGUAUAAAUUCAAUCAAUGACCUGGAUUGAAAACAGCUGUUCUGGGAUAUACUGAAAUUGCCGCAGCCACCCCAGCAUUCAGCAUGACUACAGUGAUAAGUCAGCAUCCAUCAACACUGAGACAAGACCCUUCACCAGCAAAAGGAUGAAGACCUGCUAGAGGAUCAGAUAAUAGCAUUUUCAUCAAUAAACUAUUUUUAAAUUUAAGUAUGUACAUGUUUUAGACAUAAUGCAAUUGUACACAAUAUGCUAUGGUAUAGUAUAAACAUAACUUUUAUACGUACUGGGUAACAAAAUUGUGUGACUCACUUUAUAUUAUAUUCACUUUAUUGCAGUCUGGAAGCAAACUUGAAAUAUCUCUGAGGAUACUCAUGUGCAUUCUCACGUGGCUGUCUCCAG
rnacentral:lncRNA from 1 species